UACGAAGGGGGCGAGCGUUGUUCGGAAUUACUGGGCGGAAAGGGCGCGCAGGCGGCUCAGACAGUCAGAUGUGAAAGCCCCGGGCUUAACCUGGGAACUGCAUUUGAUACUACUGAGCUUGAGUACGGGAGAGGAUAGUGGAAUUCCCAGUGUAGAGGUGAAAUUCGUAGAUAUUGGGAAGAACACCGGUGGCGAAGGCGGCUAUCUGGACCGUAACUGACGCUGAGGCGCGAAAGCGUGGGGAGCAAACAGG
rnacentral:rRNA from 1 species